UUCUUUUUGGACUUCUCUCGUUUUGAAGACUCUUUGCCAGAAGUUUUUCUGACUUUGACUUUCUUGGACGAUACUGGAGAAACAGAGGAAUCAAGACUCUUAUCAACUAAAUCUUCCUCAAAGGUACCACAAAGUCGACCAGCAUAACGAAACACAGAAGACAGAGCAGAAUAUUUGCUGUGAUAUUUUGCCAUUCUCAAUUUUGUAGAUACACCAUUGCUUUGGACUGCAACCUUUUCCAAAUGUUAGCACUGUGUAAAAGAGAUAGGAAAAAUUGUAUAUUUAAGUUGUUUUUACCUUUCCGUUGUCCGUAUUUACUUGAAUUGACUGUAGUUGAGCAGAAAAAACAUUAUCCCACCAUUGAUCAGCAAUAUCAUGUUUAGCACCAAGCUACCGUGUGUUAAAAAUAAAUUCAUACAUAACUUUACUGAAAAAACCCAUCUUUUUCUAAGAUUUUUUAUUCUGACAUACCCCAUGAGUAUUAUAUUUUCUAGAAGUUAAAAUUGGUUUGGUGAGCCCUCCUUCUUUUAAAGCGUUUCCUUCCUCCCAACCAAAGGAAUUCAAAUAUCUUUUGGAACUAAACAUCAAUGGCUGAUGAAGUUUUGCAUAAAACUUUUCAUGGGUACUUCGUGGUAAAGGGAGUAGUGCCAUGGGAUGCCAUGAAUACCUAAUAUGAAAAAAAAUAAAAAAAGUCCUUGAAUCGUCUCGGAAAAGGAAAAAAAUAUGAAAUAUAAAUUUCCUAUUUGUAUGUAUGAAUAAAUAAUUUCUAAACGUUAAAUUGGAAAAGGUCGUUUCGUAAGGUCAGAAAGGUGAGGCUCUAAUGAUGAAAUUGGAUAGAUGAAGCCUAAGAAUAUCAUUUUCUAAUUAACAGAUUACUUUAUUGAACCUGUUUUAAUGGAAUAUUUUCAUGCUGUGGGUGAUUGGCAUACCAAUCAACCAAAAGCAGUGCCUUGAGAAAGUCCAUGAUUUUUAAAGAGAGUCCAAGAGCAAGAAUGAGGUUACUUGCGUAAUAAAAAUUUGCAUUUCCACAUCCAAGAGUUAUCCAAGAAUGGUAAAAUGCAGAUCCCAGUACAAGCGCAAACACAAUAGCAUUAUUUGUAAGCAAGCUAUAUCGCAUUCGGUCUUGGACUUUAUUAAAAAUUGGGAGGAGAGAUAAAAAUAUUGAAAGAUCACAAAUACUUGGGUAAGCUUUGAAUAAAGAAUGCAGGCCAAUAAGAGCAAUAGUAAUAGGCAAGGGCAGAUAAUAAAGACGGAUCGAAACAGGGAGAACAAACAUCAAUGGUAAAAUGGCAAAUACAAAAAGGAAGAAUGUGCGAAAUUCAUUGAACAUUUCUGUAAAAAAAUACCACCAGAGACCCAAAUUCGGAGUUAGAUCAUGAGAGUCCAAGUAUACCCUAAAUGGAAUUUUCAAAAAAGAUAACGAGUUCAGAAAGAAGCCUGAAGUUAUUAUCAGACCUGCAAGAUAAAAAAGAAAAACAACGAAUAUCUGACGAAAUUUAAUGGAUGAAUUGCAUUUUCUUAAAAUAAGAUAGGAGGGGAAAAAUAACAGUAAAGCGUUAGGAUUAAUGAAUACAGUCAAUGCCAUACAGCAUGCAUAAAUUGCAUAG
rnacentral:lncRNA from 1 species